UACGUAGGGGGCUAGCGUUGUCCGGAUUUAUUGGGCGUAAAGAGCGUGUAGGCGGCCAGGUAGGUCCGGUGUGAAAACUCGAGGCUUAACCUCGAGAUGUCAUCGGAAACCAUCUGGCUAGAGUCCGGAAGAGGAGAGUGGAAUUCCUGGUGUAGCGGUGAAAUGCGCAGAUAUCGAGAGGAACACCUGCGGCGAAGGCGGGUUGCUGGGCUGACACUGACGCUGAGGCGCGAAAGCUAGGGGAGCGAACGGG
rnacentral:rRNA from 1 species